rnacentral:rRNA from 1 species
CCUACGGGAGGCAGCAGUGGGGAAUUUUGGACAAUGGGCGAAAGCCUGAUCCAGCAAUGCCGCGUGAGUGAAGAAGGCCUUCGGGUUGUAAAGCUCUUUUGUCAGGGAAGAAACGGUGAGAGCUAAUAUCUUUUGCUAAUGACGGUACCUGAAGAAUAAGCACCGGCUAACUACGUGCCAGCAGCCGCGGUAAUACGUAGGGUGCAAGCGUUAAUCGGAAUUACUGGGCGUAAAGCGUGCGCAGGCGGUUUUGUAAGUCUGAUGUGAAAUCCCCGGGCUCAACCUGGGAAUUGCAUUGGAGACUGCAAGGCUAGAAUCUGGCAGAGGGGGGUAGAAUUCCACGUGUAGCAGUGAAAUGCGUAGAUAUGUGGAGGAACACCGAUGGCGAAGGCAGCCCCCUGGGUCAAGAUUGACGCUCAUGCACGAAAGCGUGGGGAGCAAACAGGAUUAGAUACCCUGGUAGUCCACGCCCUAAACGAUGUCUACUAGUUGUCGGGUCUUAAUUGACUUGGUAACGCAGCUAACGCGUGAAGUAGACCGCCUGGGGAGUCGGUCGCAAGNUUAAAACUCAAAGGAAUUGACGGNGNGAGAGAGCGAGACGACGACGAGGGAGGAGG